rnacentral:rRNA from 1 species
AUUGAACGCUGGCGGCAGGCUUAACACAUGCACGUCGAACGAGUGGCGGCCGGGUGAGUAAUGCUUGGGAAUCUAGCUUAUGGAGGGGGAUAACUCCGGGAAACUGUAGCUAAUACCGCUUACCAUAGGAUGAGCCCAAGUGGGAUUAGGUAGUUGGUGAGGUAAAGGCUAACCAAGCCGACGAUCGCUAGCUGGUCUGAGAGGAGGACCAGCCACACGGGGACGGAGACACGGCCCAGACUCCUACGGGAGGCAGCAGUGGGGAAUAUUGCGCAAUGGGGGCAACCUGACGCAGCCAUGCCGCGUGAAUGAAGAAGGCCUUCGGGUUGGAAAGUUCUUUCGGUAGCGAGGCGUUAACUACAGAAGAAGCACCGGCUAACUCCGUGCCAGCAGCCGCGGUAAUAC